CGUUAAAUGCUUAAUGACGUACUGGGAAACUGGUAUUUCUUCGGUACAUUUUGCAAGGUGCUGCAUGGUUGUCGUCAGCUCGUGUCGUGAGGUGUCGGGUUAAGUCCCAUAACGAGCGCAACCCCUAUUGUUAGUUGCCAUCAGGUCAUGCUGGGGACUCUAACAAAACUGCCCGCGUAAGCGUGGAGGAAGGUGGGGAUGACGUCAAAUCAGCACGGCCCUUACGUCCAGGGCUACACACGUGCUACAAUGGCCGGUACAGAGGGCAGCCACUUGGUGACAAGGAGCAAAUCUCAAAAGCCGGUCUCAGUUCGGAUCGGAGUCUGUAACUCGACUCCGUGAAGUUGGAUUCGCUAGUAAUCGUAGAUCAGCAAUGCUACGGUGAAUACGUUCCCGGGCCUU
rnacentral:rRNA from 1 species